rnacentral:rRNA from 2 species
GCGAUCUUUAAGGGGGCCUGAGAGGGUGAUCCCCCACACUGGUACUGAGACACGGACCAGACUCCUACGGGAGGCAGCAGUGAGGAAUAUUGGACAAUGGGUGAGAGCCUGAUCCAGCCAUCCCGCGUGAAGGACGACGGCCCUAUGGGUUGUAAACUUCUUUUGUAUAGGGAUAAACCUACUCUCGUGAGAGUAGCUGAAGGUACUAUACGAAUAAGCACCGGCUAACUCCGUGCCAGCAGCCGCGGUAAUACGGAGGGUGCAAGCGUUAUCCGGAUUUAUUGGGUUUAAAGGGUCCGUAGGCGGAUCUGUAAGUCAGUGGUGAAAUCUCACAGCUUAACUGUGAAACUGCCAUUGAUACUGCAGGUCUUGAGUGUUGUUGAAGUAGCUGGAAUAAGUAGUGUAGCGGUGAAAUGCAUAGAUAUUACUUAGAACACCAAUUGCGAAGGCAGGUUACUAAGCAACAACUGACGCUGAUGGACGAAAGCGUGGGGAGCGAACAGGAUUAGAUACCCUGGUAGUCCACGCCGUAAACGAUGCUAACUCGUUUUUGGGCUUUCGGGUUCAGAGACUAAGCGAAAGUGAUAAGUUAGGCCACCUGGGGAGUACGAACGCAAGUUUGAAACUCAAAGGAAUUGACGGGGGCCCGCACAAGCGGUGGAUUAUGUGGUUUAAUUCGAUGAUACGCGAGGAACCUUACCAAGGCUUAAAUGGGAAAUGACAGGUUUAGAAAUAAGACUUUUCUUCGGACAUUUUUCAAGGUGCUGCAUGGUUGUCGUCAGCUCGUGCCGUGAGGUGUUAGGUUAAGUCCUGCAACGAGCGGCAACCCCUGUCACUAGUUGCCAUCAUUAAGUUGGGGACUCUAGUGAGACUGCCUACGCAAGUAGAGAGGAAGGUGGGGAUGACGUCAAAUCAUCACGGCCCUUACGCCUUGGGCCACACACGUAAUACAAUGGCCGGUACAGAGGGCAGCUACACACGCGAUGUGAUGCAAAUCUCGAAAGCCGGUCUCAGUUCGGAUUGGAGUCUGCAACUCGACUCUAUGAAGCUGGAAUCGCUAGUAAUCGCGCAUCAGCCAUGGCGCGGUGAAUACGUUCCCGGGCCUUGUACACACCGCCCGUCAAGCCAUGGAAGUCUGGGGUACCUGAAGUCGGUACCGUAC